rnacentral:rRNA from 1 species
AUUGAACGCUGGCGGCAGGCCUAACACAUGCAAGUCGAGCGAGCGGCGGACGGGUGAGUAAUGUAUGGGGACUGCCCGAUAGAGGGGGAUAACUCCUGGACACGGUAGCUAAUACCGCAUACUAUCCGAUAACCCAUAUGGGAUUAGCUAGUAGGUGGGGUAUUGGCUCACCUAGGCGACGAUCCCUAGCUGGUCUGAGUGGAUGAUCAGCCACACUGGGACUGAGACACGGCCCAGACUCCUACGGAGGCAGCAGUGGGGAAUAUUGCACAAUGGGCGCAAGCCUGAUGCAGCCAUGCCGCGUGUAUGAAGAAGGCCCUAGGGUUGUAAAGUACUUUUGGCAGAGAAGCGGUAUCUGCAGAAUAAGCACCGGCUAACUACGUGCCAGCCGCCGCGGUAAUUC